GGCCUCUCAUUUAUUUAUUUCAAUAAAGAAAUUUGGGUUAUUUUUUUGUAGGUCCAUUCACAUCAUUUAUUCCCGACACAUCAAAUGUAUAAAGACAAUUCUCAACUCAUUAUCCUCUCCAUCUCUCUAUCCCCCAGCUGGAGUUUAUCUCAUAUUUUAAGAGAUUUUUUAUUUUUCGGUUAAUCAAAGACUCCAAUUCCAAUUGUUUGUUUAGAUAGCAUCGAUGAUAUUCGAAGAGAACUUGCAAAUAUCGGACAUCCAGGUAUGAGAAAGUUGCUUUUUCUUGCUAAUAAAUGGAGGAAGAAAAGGAUUGAAACGAAUAUAUGGGGUCCAAAGAGAGUUGCAUUCCAAUAGCUAGGCGUGAGCAAAUUGAGGAAAGCUACGGAUGGACCCCAUGCGUAAGAAAAAUAUAAUGGUGAUGAAUUGAUGAUUGAUGGCCUCUCUGUAGAAGCUGGAGCCCUCAUCCUCCAUGCAUGAGUAUGAUGUUUUAGGUUUUAUUUGCAAAUUAAAAAUAAUUAAAUAAAUAAUUUGCUUUUGUUCUUAUUGAGUUUGUGGGGAUCCCUUUUAAGGGUUUUAAUUGAUCUGAUCUUCAUCUCAUCUCAUCAUCCUAUGAUAGCACACCAGAGCACCACAGCUUAGCCCCCUUUUGACACUUAGCCAUCACCCAUUUCUCCAUCAUCAUUAUUAUUAUUAUUAUUAUUAUUAUUAUUAUUAUAUGUAUAAUAUCCCUCAUUUCAUUUUCUCUCUCUCAACACACAUGCAUAAUAUUGUGUUUUUCUUGAUUUUUUUUCUCAAUUAGUAAUUAAUACUUGUUGAGGUUCGUGUUUAACGGUAUUUUUAACAUGCCAAGGGUUAUGCUUUAAUUGUUAAUGUAUUUUGUAAUGCUUGAUUUGAAUUUAUGCAACAACUUUCAAAAUCAAGAAAAAUGUUGAUAUGCUGCAAUUUGGAAAUAAACUCUACUGAAGUAUUGUUUCAUAAGGAUGCUAUCGAACAAGAACAAUUUUAUGUGCCAAGCUUAAUU
rnacentral:lncRNA from 1 species